CUCUCUCUCUCUCUCUCUCUCUCUCUCUCUCUCUCUCUCUCUCUCUCUCUCAAAUCAUUUUAGUGCCACACUAGGGGAGGAGUUAUUGUUCCUCCUCUCCUCCCCUCUAUUCUCUUCCUCCAAUCUCCUAUUUUCCUCUCUCUCCUUUGUGAGCGUUCAUCCUCUCCUUUGUGAGAGUUUAUUUUACUUUUUUUUUCUUCUAGUUGUUUGUGUUUCAUUUCUUCUCAUCGUUCCUCCUCUCCCUACUUGUGAGUCAGCAAUGUUGGAAAUUUUAUAUUAUUUAAUAAUAUUUAAUUCCCAAUACUUUAUUUUAUCUCUUUGUUAAAUACUUUUGGCGUUUGUCUUAAGAGUACAAAUAUAUAAUUGGUUCGCCAGAAUCUUAAGUUCUCCUCCCACUCUCCAUAGGUGCAUUUUCUCGGAGCUAUGUCUCGGAUAUGAGGUUUUUGUCUCCUCUAGGUUCUCUUUCAUGUAGCCUACGAAUGCCUUUCUUUGUUGAUUCUCAAUCACCACCCUCUGCUCCUUGGCCUUGCGGGUGUAGCUUUCGUCGAUCUCCUUCGGUGCCAGUAUCAGUAUGUGGUGUGGGGAUGCGUUUAGAGUGUUAAAUACACUAGUUCCUUGGAUUAUGAGAGCCCAUUUUGUGCGGGUGGCUUGUUCCCCCAUCCUUUGUUUGGAUCUUUGGUAUGUGAAGAAACACAAUAAAAAUAUCUUGGCCAAUGAAUAGAGAGCGCAUGGAAAUGUUAUCUUAAAGUAAAAUAUAUGUAAUAGUUGGGAUCGACAUACCGCAAGAUCAAAGGUUUGCAAAUUGUUAUUUUUAAUUGAGUUAACCAGUUUGGUGC